rnacentral:rRNA from 1 species
GUGAUGCCUGCCCAGUGACACCACGUUUAACGGCCGCGGUAUCCUAACCGUGCAAAGGUAGCGCAAUCAAUUGUCCCAUAAAUCGAGACUUGUAUGAACGGCUAAACGAGGUCUUAACUGUCUCCUGCAGACAAUCAGUGAAACUGAUCUCCCUGUGCAAAAGCAGGAAUAAACACACAAGACGAGAAGACCCUGUGGAACUUUAAAAUCAAUAGCCACCACACACCCAACCCUUCAAACCCACCGGGCCCACCACCACAAAAAGCUGGCUAACAUUUUUAGGUUGGGGCGACCUUGGAGAAAAACAAACCCUCCAAAAACAAGGCCAAACUCCUUAACCAAGAGCAACCCCUCAACGUGCCAAAAGCACCCAGACCCAAUAAAAUUGACCAAUGAACCAAGCUACCCCAGGGAUAACAGCGCAAUCUCCCCCAAGAGCCCCUAUCGACGAGGAGGUUUACGACCUCGAUGUUGGAUCAGGACAUCCUAGUGGUGCAGUCGCUAC